rnacentral:lncRNA from 1 species
CUGCUGAGUCAUCCUGCUCUGGCAGUUAUUUAAACAGAAGGCUCCAGGAGACAUACAAUCAACACUCCACUCAGACAAUGCCCAGACCUCCAGAAACCAUGUGUCAAGCUCGGAUUGCCUUAGACAGGUGCAAUUUAAGAACAGCUUUCAUCCUCUUUUCUCUCAUAUUGUCACACUAUGUGUUCUGACUUCUGGCUCCUUUCCUCACAAGAAGCUCACCCAGCUGGAACUCUUAUGGGACCUUGGCACCAGAGACCACAAAUUCCUCUUUGAAGUUUUCUAACAGCAACAAUGGUAUUUCUGACUUGGCUUUCUUGUAUUUCUCUCACGUUAACAAAAUUGGUUCAGCAUCUACCAUGGGCUACAUGCUGAGCUACAGGUAAGGUUUGGCUAAAGGAUGAAUAAGAACCCCUCCUUGUCUUCAGGAGUUUGUCUAGCAGAGGAGUCUGUCAUGUAAUCAGGAAACUCCAGUACACAACGUGAUAGCUCUAAGACAGGUAUAUACAAGAUGAUGUUCUGGACCUUAACUGUUUGGGGAGUACUACUGCCUUUGUCUAAAAGCCAUCACCCUUUUUAUAUGCCAUUUGGGAGGAACUGGGGGGACGUGGGAGGCUUCAAAGGGUUAUGGGAGGAUGGACAUUUUAAAAGGGCUUUUCUUUUCUUUUUUUUUUUUUGAGACAGAGUUUCGCUCUGUCGCCCAGGCUGGAGUGCAGUGGCGCGCGAUCUCGGUUCACUGCAAGCUCCACCUCCCGGGUUCACGCCAUUCUCCUGCCUCAGCCUCCUGAGUAGCUGGGACUACAGGCGCCCGCCACCACACCCAGGAAUCCAACUUGCUGUUUGCUAUCACAUGUGCUAUACAUGCUGUUGAUGAAACUGCUAAAGGGGCUGAAUGUGACUGACGUCUUUGGAAGGAUGAGACUUAGCGUGCCUGUACAGUUGUGUCCAAAUGCUGUCCUCAUCUCCCAAUGAAAAGAUACAUGAAAAGAAAGAAGGAGAGAAGGAAGAAAGGAGGGCGGAAGGAAAGGAAGAAGGGAGAGAAGAAGAGAAGAAAGAAGCAGAGAAAGGAAGAGAAAAGAAAUUACGGCCAGUGCGGUGGCUCACGCCUGUAAUCCUAGCACUUUGGGAGGCCUAAGCGGGCUGAUCACCUGAGGUCAGGAGUUCGUAAGCCAGCCUGGCCAACAUGGUGAAACCCUAUCUCUACUAAAAAUACAAAAAUCAGCAGGGCAUGGUGGUGCGUGCCUGUAAUCCCAGCUACCUGGGAGGCUGAGGUAGGAGAAUCGCUGGAACCCGAGAGGCGGAGGCUGCAGUGAGUUGAGAUCAUGUCACUGCACUCCAGGCUGGGCAACAGAGUGAGACUCUGUCUCAGAAAAAAAAAAAAAGAAAGAAAGAAAGAAAGAAAGUUACCAUUAGUUUUUUGUUGUAUUUGCAAGCAAAGACAAAAGCACCAAGGUACUUGUUUCCUUCUGUAAUUAGAGUUUCAAAUAGACUAAAAGUUUCUGCUCUUAGGUGGGUCUAGAGACUCUCCAGUACCUCAGGACCUCAGGACACAUGGGGUCUCUUGGUUGUUUUCUUUUCAUUGUUGUUGUUUAUUUUAUUUUUGUUUUUAUUUUUUAACUUUAAAACAAUUUUUUGUAGAUGAAUAUGCUUACAUAUGUUUGGGGGUUUUUUUGAGACAGGGUCUUGCUCUGUUGCCCAGGCUGGAGAGCGGUGGUUUAACCACAGCUCACUGCAGCCUCGACCUCCCAAGGUAGGGACUGCAGGUGUGUACACUGGGGUGCACCACCACACCCAGCUAAUUUUUAAAUUUUUUUUUGUAGAUAUUGUCUCACUCUGUUGGCCAGACUGGUCUUGAAAUCCUGGGCUCGAGCAAUUCUCCUGCCUCGGCCUCGUAACGCGUUAGGAUUACAAGCGUGAACACCGCACCUGGCCAGCAUGUGGUCUCUUAACCAGAGGAGGCCUCUUCUGAACUAGGUAGAGGUCCUGAGAAUUGAUUCUGAGAGUAAAAGGCUCUUUGUUCUCCUCAGAGUAGAUUAGAAUCCCUAAUGAUAGAGCAUCUAUUAUUCCUCUAGUGGUCCAUGCCCAACAGAUUCAUCCAAGAAUAGAUGAAGAUCUUUGUAAUGUUGUGCAAGUAAUCUAAUCACCCCACAGAAGAGCUGUGACUUAAAUUAUCCCAGAGUCGGCCCACCUGUUUUCAUAAAGAUCAAUGUAACUUGUAAAUUUCUUCAGUUCUCCUCACCUAUCAUCAUUUGACUAACAAAACCCAGAAAACUAGGCUAGUUAUGGUGGCCUAUGCAUAUAAUCCCAACUCUUUGAGAGGCCAGGGUGGGUGGAUUGCUUGAGUCCAGGAAUUCGAGACCAGCCUGGGCAACAAAGGGAGACCCUGCCUAUAUCCCAGCUAUGCAGGAGGCGAGGCCAGAGGAUUGCCUGAGCCUCAGAGGUUGAGGCUGUAGUGAGCCAUGAUUGCCCCACUACACUCCAGCCUGGAUGACAGAGUGAGACCCUGCCUUAAAAAUAAUAAUAAUAGUAAUAAUAUUUCAUAAAGAUACAGGAAACUAGAUUAUAAUUGACAUUUUCAAAGUGAAAUACUGUCUAGAAUGGUGCUUGGCCAACAGUAAGCUUUUUGUAAGUGGAAGUCAUUACUACUACUAUUUCUUUCAUUAUUAUUACCAUUACUACUUUUUUUUACAAAAAAAAAACCCUGGACAACACACUGAAACCAUUACUACUUCUACUACUAUAACUUAGGUUGCACCUGAUAGAGCCAGCAAUUUUUCCAAGGUAUGACAAUGGCCAUAUGUUUAAUGAUAUAAUUCUAUGGCUCAGUGUAUCUCAGCCUUUUUAAACCCUGCUCUUCUUUUGACAAUUGUAAAAAUCUUAAACUGACCUCCAGUUGAAAUCCUCUGUCAAGAAGAUAUUGUCGGCCAGGGGCGGUGGCUCACACCUGUAAUCCCAGCACUUUUGGAGGCCGAGGUGGGAGGAUCACUUGAGGUUAGGAGUUCAAGACCAGCCUGGCCAACAUAGUGAAACCCCAUCUCUACUAAAAAUACAAAAAUUAGGCAGGCAUGGUGGUGUGUGCCUGUAAUCCCAGCUACUCAGGAGGCUGAGGUAGGAGAAUUGCUUGAACCUGGCAGGGCAGAGGUUGCAGCAAGCCGAGAUCACGCCACUGCUCUCCAGCCUGGGUGAGACUGUCUCAAAAAAAAAAAAAAAAAAGAAAGAAAGUAAGAAAAAGAAGAAAUCCCAAUCUCUUCUUUUAUGUGGAUUCUUCCUCACUUGAAUAAUACUUUUCUUCCCCAGUAUUCUCCAUAUUAUCCCAGAGUCAGCCCCUCUGUUUUUGUAAAGAUCUACGUAACCUCCUCUAAGUUUCCCAGUUCUCCUCACCUAUCAUAUCAUUUGGCUCAACAAAGGGCAGGAAGCUAGAUUCUAAUUGAUAUUUUGAGGCCGGGAGCAGUGGCUCAUGCCUGUAAUCACAGCACUUUGGGAGGCUGAGGCGGGCAGAUCACUGGAGGUCAGGAGUUCGAGACCAGCCUGGCCAAUAUGGUGAAACCUCGUCUCUACUAAAAAUACAAAAAAUUAGCCAGGCUUGGUGGCUUGUACCUGUAAUCCCAGCUACUCAGGAGGCUGAGGCAGGAGAAUAGCUUAAACCUGGGAGGAAGAGGUUGCAGUGAGCCGAGAUUGCUCAAUUGCACCCCAGCCUGGGUGACAGAGCAAAACUCCAUCUCAAAAACAAACAAACGAACAAACCUGAUAUUUUCAAAAUUGAGGCAAUUAUAACAGCUAUUUAGCCAAGCAUUAUGAUAGCAAUAAUAGCAAGAAAAUAAAUUAGUUAACAAAUGAGUCUCAGAAGCCCAAUGAUUUUUAUUUUAUUUUUAUUUUUUGAACUUUUAUUUUAGAAUCAGGGGAUACAUGUGCAGGUUUGUUACCCGGGUAUAUUGCAUGAUGCUGAGUUUUGGAGUAUGCAUGAAUCCAACCUGUCAUCCAGGUAGUGAGUAUAGUACCCAACAGAUAGUUUUUUUAACAUUUACUUCACUCCCUUCCCCAAUCUUGUAUUCCCCUGUGUCUACUGUUCCCAUUUUUAUGACUGUGCCAACAAUAAUUUUUUUUCUUUUUUCUUUAAAUAGAGAUGGGGGUCUCUAUUUAAAGAGCCUCCCAAAGUGCUAGGAUUACAGGUGUGAUCCAUUGCACCUGGCCCAUGCCAACAAUAUUUGAAACCCUUAUCUGCGUGUACAAGUUUGCUACUGGUUUUGUUUUGCUCAUUAAUACAUCCCAAGCAUCUAUACCUGGCUUGUAGUACCAGCAUGUAGUAGGUGCUUAAUAAAUAUUUAUUGAAUAAAUAAAUUAGUUUGACAUUAGUUUAACAUCUCAAGUAAAACAAAAUACCAUUCAAUUAAUUCUCUUCUUCUACUUUUUUCUUUUAAGAGAGACAAAUAGUCACACAUACAUCAGCAGGAGAGGAUACAAUUUCCUGUGUUUAAGUUUUUAUGAGUUACUUUAGUUCAAAUGUCACAGAAAAUUAUAUUGAACUCUUGACCAAUCUAUCUAUUUUUUCCAUUGGAGUAUUGACCCAAAUAAGAAAUAGCAUAAAGGAAAAAUUAUUUUUUGGCAGAAAAAUAUUCUCUCUAAAUUCUUGUGUGUUUUGUUUUGAUUUUUUCCUUAGUGACUGGAGGCCAGUUUCAAUCCACUGAAGCACAGAUUCCAAAUUUUCAAUCUGGUUUUCUUGAGUAGUGACUGAGUGCCAAAAAUGAAGCAAUGACACAACAUCACCAUCAAGACACUCCCCAGCACGCACACACAUGCCAGAGUCCAACACCAAGAUACUCCCCAGCACGCACACACACGCCAGAGUCCAGGCCAUAUUCGGGUGGCUUGCAAGCUUCUUCCCCCCAAGUAUUUACUCUCAAAAUAAUGGUUUUUGUUUUGUUUUGGUUUGGUUUGGUUUGUUUUUUUCCAAAUACAUUUCUUCCCUAUAUCUUUAACCAAUUCUCAUAAAAUUUUGUCUAAUACACUGGUCAGUGUAUUCCAGACCCUAAAAGAUAACAUAAUGAAACUAUCUAUGACUAAAAGGUAAUCAGGAUCUUCUACUUAUCCUUUUUUCCUCCCUCUUAAACUUUAAUUUUGAUACAUUUGGGAGUGAAAUGAUGACAAUAAAUGCAAAGUAAUUAUUGAAGAAACAGUAAUUUUGUAUUAGCUUACUGAAAAAAAAAAAAAAGAUAACCAAAUAUAUUUUGGCAGCCCCAAACGAGUCACAUGUGAAAUGCAGUGGGAGAGCAGUGUCCUGAAGGAAAAGGUGGCCUGCUGGACAGCCAAGAGAACAAACAUCCACUGCAAGUAAUAUGAGCUCUAAGUUUGGACUAGGCCUAUGUCUGCUCUGAGACUUGGGGCAAUUCACUUAAUCAGAGCCUUAAUCAGCUACGGACUAGCAAUAUCCAUACCCGCUACUUAUUUUGUAAAUCUCCUUUCUAAAGUUAACUCUAUUUAUUGUUCCAUAAUCCCAUAAAUUCUAGAAUCUUUUCCUGUUAUAGCCAAGUUGUCUAUCAUUGACAGAGAUAUUCACCUGGUUGUUUUGGCUUCUCUAAUCCUCCUGGUGAGAACACCUCCAAGGGAGCUUUCAGUGGCAUUUAAGGUCACUUGUGCUCUUGGUCCUAGAAACUGCCUUGAUAGUGGUUUUAGCUCACAUGAGGUAAGUCUUUAUUAUAUGCCCAACCUCUUUAUGCAUUACUUCAUUUAAUUGUAUACUAAUCCUUUGUCAUAGGUUAUCAGAGUGUUUGAUUAUAAGUUACAGGAAGAAAAAAAAAAACAAACUCCAAUUGACUAAAACAAUGGGGCAUUUUUUGACUCACAUAACAGAGAGUCUAGAGAGAAGGCACCUUCAGGUUUGGCUGAUGAAUCCUGUAUCUCUGCCUUGUCUCCAGGCCCCCAGGUUCUGCCUCUGUCCUGACAUCCAGUGUUGGAUUCCUCUUCACAUCAACUCCUCUCUAGCUGUGGCAAUUCCUUGAACCACACUGAUUGCUAUAAAGUGGAAGAGGAAUAGAUUGAAUUUUGGGGAGUCAACUACAAUGUGUACUACAGGUAAAUACUAUGAAUUUCCAAUUCACAGAUGAGAAAACUGAGGCAUGUGGUGGGAGGGAGGUUAUGUAAUUUGCCCAGUGUCACAGUUGAACCUAGGCAAAGGCCUAUCUCCAGGUCUAAACAAUUCAGUGGCCUCCUGUGUACAUUUCUGUCUCUCCUUUUUUAUCCACUGUGUCACCGAGGCUGGAUUGCAGUGGCUCGAUCAUGGAGAUCAUGGCUUUCUGUAGCCUUGAACUCCUGGGCUCAAGUGAUCCUCCUGCCUCAGCUUCCUGAGUGGCUGGGACUACAGGCUUGACAACACACCCGGCUAUCCCGUGUAUAUUUCUUGAGGGCUUAUGAUAUAUAAGAGAAACUCCAAAAUAAGAGGACGGUGUGCUAAGGGGAAGACCAAAGCACUAUCAAGAGGUAGAUUCAAUCGUACCCCUUCUAUUUACUAGUUGUGUGACUCUUUUGAAAAUGAGAAUAAUAGGCCAGGCUCGGUGGCUCCUGCCUGUAAUCCCAGCACUUUGGGAGGCUGAGGCAGGUAGAUCACCUGAGGUUAGAAGUUCAAGACCAGCCUAGCCAACAUGGCAAAACCCCAUCUCUAUUAAAAAUACAAAAAUUAGCCGGGAAUGGCAGCAUGUGCCUGUAGUUCCGGCUACUCAGGAGGCUGAGGCAGGAGAAUCACUUGAACCCAGGAGGCAGAGGUUGCAGUGAGCCGAGAUUGCGCUACUGCACUUCAGCCUGGGUGACAGCGAGACUCCAUCUCAAAAAAAAAAAAAAAGGAAGAAAAGAAAAGAAAAUGGGAAUAAUAAAACUUACUUACUGGAGCAGUAGCAAAGAUUAAAAUUUAGACCAUGCAGAAGAAUGUUUUUCAAAAUGACAUGACCUGGUAAUAGGAUAGAAAUGCAAAUUCCUGUUACUGCACCAGACCCACCAAAUAAGAAACUCUGGGGAUGGGACCCAGGACUAAGUACUUUAAUAAGCACUCCAGGUGAUUCUAAUGAUUGUUAAAGUUUGAGAACCACUGGUCUAACACAUUGCCUGGUACAUAAGCUCUUAUUUUGUUGUUAUUGUUCUAAGGACAAUGUGUGUAUUGACUUCUAUUUCCAGGAGUUCAUGACUUGGAGAACUAGGGAAAGGAAGACAAAAAUUCUUUAAUGCAGAACGAUACUGAUUGAUAAAUACCUGAAUAUAAUACAGGUUAAAUGUGCUUUGAAGAUUUAUAAAAGGUUGAAUUUAUUUCCAGCAAGAUGACUCUCAGAAGCCUUUAUAGAUUAGAGAAGAAAUGGAAAGGGGUAAAAAUAAUUAGGAACUAUAAAGCAGGGCAGACAAGUUUUCAAUGGUUACUGCCAAUGUGUAUACAGAAAGUUAGCUUGGCCAGGCAAAGUGGCUCAUGCUUGUAAUAUCAGCACUUUGGGAGGCCAAGGCGGGCAGGUCACCUGAGAUCAGGAGUUUGAGACCAGCCUGACCAACAUGGUGAAACUCUAUCUCUACUAAAAAUACACAAUUAGCCCAGCAUGGUAGAGCAUGCCUGUAAUCCCAGCUACUCAGGAGGCUGAGGCAGGAGAAUCGCUUGUACUUGGGAGGCAAAGGCUGCAGUGAGCUGAGAUCGUGCCAUUGCACUCCAUCCUGGGAAACAAGGGUGAAACUCCGUCUCCAGAAAAAAAAAAGUUACCUUGAAAUAUAUCAAUACAAACAAAUAAAUUAGAUAUUUCAUAUUGUACAGGAACAAAACCCAUCAGAAGAUGUCAGAAGAUAAGGAUUUUUGUCCUGAUGCUACACUUACCAGCUGUCCCUCAGUGUUCUACUUCUUAAAAAAAGAGAGAUGGAUAAACAGAGGCAACCCGAGGAUAAAGGCCUUGCUCAGUGUCACACAUUUCAGUCACUAAAUAAGACACAAUGGAUGCCAGUAUUCUCAUCCCCUCACAAAUAAAGAGCCUUCAAGCUCUUGCAGUCAACAAGAACUUUUGGAAUGAUUUCACUGCCUGAAAAGGCAGAUACAUAGGUGACACCCACAAAUAGGAAGAAAAUCAACCUGAACCUGAGUGUGUGGGCUCACUGACUCUAAGCAGUAGAGACAGAAGAAAAAGUUUUAGCAAAGAAGGGUUCUGAAAGAAAAUAAAUAUAGCUCGUUAUCAAGUGCUGUUUUUACACAGUAAAACAUGGGCAAAAUUACUCUUCUUUAAGUAGUAAUUCUUAUCUCUUGAUUAAGUCACCUACUCAUUCAUUUAAUAAAUACAUACUGAUUGUUUUCUAUGUGUUGAGCACUCAUCUCUGUAUUGGAAAUAUAAUAAUGACCAAAGUUGACAAUAGUAAUAACAAUAAUAGCUAAUAUAGCAGGCACUAAUAAUUAUUUGUUGAGUAAUAUGUCAAAAUUCAGUGUGAACAGCAUUCUAUUUGGGGCUGCAUCCACUGACUAUAACACAGCUAAUCUAUCUGAAAUGUUCCAGCUUUGGGCCUCUCUAACAGAAGAAGCUGUUGUUGGGCCUGCCUCUAGUUGGCGAUGCAUCCACCAAUGAGAAUGAAUUUAUGAUCGACCACUCUUCCUGUAAAGGCCGCUGGAACUGACAGCAUUGUGAUUUUCUUUUACUGUUAGUUUUAAAUUACUAGAACCAACUCAAUUACUAGAACGAACUUUACUUCUUUGUUUCCUACUUAUCAAAACAGUAAAAACAACAAGUAAAAGAAAUGCCAUCUUAAUAUUGUUUUGAUGACAAAACAGUAUUCCUUUUAGUUGUGCUUCAAAUGGAAUAAGAUGCAAACAGGCUUGGUAUGGUGGCUCACCCCUGUAAUCCCAGCCCUUUGGGAGGCCAAGGUGGAAGGAUUGCUUGAGGCCAUGAGUUUGAGACCAGCCUGCGCAACAUAGCAAGACCGUGUCUCUACAAAAAAUAAAAAAUUAGCUGAGUGUAGUGGUGUGUGCUUGUGGUCCCAGCUACUUUUGAGGCUGAGGAGGGAGAAUCUCUUGAGCCCAGAAGGUCGAAGUUGCAGUGAGCCGUGAUCGUGCCAUUGCUCUCCAGCUUGGACAACAAAGCAAGACCCUAUGUCAAAAAAUAAAUAAAUAAAAGACAUAAACAUAUCUGAGAUUAACUUUCAGUGGUAAAUUUGUUCCAUAUAUGAUUUUUAAGGUUAAAUGCUUUGGAAGCUUUAAAAACCAUUUCAGCCCUUUUAAAUGCCAACUUACACUGAUGAUGCUCUCAGAUGUUAGGAAAUCUUUUGAGCAGAAAAUGGAAGUGGGGGUGUUGAGGCAGGGAGGAGAGUGAUGCAAUAUUCCUUAGUGUCAUCCUGUGAUUUCACAAUUUGUUUUUCAAUCUGUUUGGACUUUCAAAAGGGAAGACUCUCAUAUGUCAACAAGCCCAUGAACUGAAGCUUAAAACACUGGAAACAACAACUGUAGAGUUUCAAGUAUAUGUACAUUUAUGUAUUCAUGUUCCUUGAUGGGAAUGCUGGCUGGUGUGAAUGUUCAAUCUCCUGAGAAAUGUAAAUUUUUCUCUGACAGAUUUAUUAGCUUGCUGUAUCUGAGCACAUGAGCAAAAACAAUGCCUAAUAAGAAAACUUUCUCUCUCCUUCAAAGUCAAACUUGGGAGAAAUGAAGGGAAAUCGAGUUUUCUUUGCUUGACAGUGUUCAACAUUCUUGUAGUCAGUGUGCUCAUGAAGAUUGCAAACUUUUUUUUUUUUUUAGAGCAGCUAGGACUACAGGCGCGCACCACCACACCCAGCUAAUUUGUGUAUUUUUAGUAGAGAUGGGGUUUUAACUAUGUUGGCCAAGCUUGUCUCAAACUCCUGACCUCAAGUGAUCCAUUCGACAGCUCUUUCUUUUUUUUUUUUUUUUUUGAGACAAAGUCUCGCUCUGUCACCCAGGCUGGAGUGCAGUGGUAUGAUCUCAGCUCACUGCAACCUCCGCCUCCUGGGUUCAAGCAAUUCUCAUGCCUUAGCCUCCCGAAU